ensembl:ncRNA asRNA:CR46033 antisense RNA:CR46033
CUAUUUGCUGAAUAUAUGAUAAGGAUCAUAAACGCCAAGAUUGUGUCACUUUGCAACUGUCAUACGAAUGAUCAACAUCAACAUCAAAGUAACAGCACAAAGUCAACUUUAAACUUAAAAAUAAAAUAUAAGAACCUCCAAAAAACAUACUCUAUUUUGGUCUGAUAUGAUUAUUUAUUUCCUCAGUUAACUUAAAACUCUGAACGUAUUCGAGUCACCUAUUCAAACAGUCAGUCAUAAAGCAAGGGGAAUCCGAACUUCGGUACUUCUUUUGUUUAUGCUUGGCAUUACUCACUGGCAAAACAUAAAACCAUGAAUGACUGGCAUCUAGAUCUGGGAAAGGCCCCGCCCACUUGGAGACCUGAACAGCCUUGGUAAUCUAAUCGUAAGCCAUAUAAUGACCACUGGUUAGAGGUACAUAGAUAAAUUUCGGAAAGAUAAAGCAGAUUGCGCCACAUGAAUCACAUUCAGAGGCAGCGUUGCAGCUGCGGCAAACUUGAAAUAAAAAAAAGGAAAGAGCAAAAUAAUACAAUAAGGCCCGGGCCAGGAAGUCCGAUUUACAAAACACUUGUUUUGGAAAGUUUUUAGACAUUCCACGCCGCCCAAUGGACACGCUAUCAAUCAAAUCGCCGCUACUGAUAACACGAAUUCGAUCGAAAGCCGUUGGAGAUUUGACGCAAGUCCGGCGAUUGACUUCAAAGUCGUUUGCUCGGAUUUUCGACAGCCACAACGAGCAUGUAUUUCAAACUGCGACACCACGACAACAGACUUUGAAGUGCAGCGAGGGAUAAGAUACAGAUAGUGGGGGCACCACUCCAGGUGCCACUCCGAAACUCACCUCGUUCAUAUAUUCGGGUGCCGAUCCGGGCAGAGAGAGGAUAUAGUCCGCCGAUCUUUCGCUGGUACAGCUGCCGAAAUCAAUGCCCAGCACUCCCAUCUGACCCACCAAUUGCAGGAUGGACUCGUGGAUGUUCUGAUAUAUCUCGGGUAUCUUCUCUCGCCGUUCACUGU